rnacentral:misc_RNA from 1 species
AAGUCGUAACAAGGUAUCCGUAGGUGAACCUGCGGAUGGAUCAUUAGAAUGUUUAAUUUUGAUGGUAGUGUGAACUGGUUAUUGUUUGUUGACAAAUGAUCAAAACCAUUUGUCAACUUGUAUACUUUUACUACUAAAUUCAAAUGUGUCAUUGUACACAAACAAAAGUUAUACAACUUUUAGCAAUGGAUCUCUUGGCUCUC